ensembl:snRNA U6 U6 spliceosomal RNA
GUGCUUGCUUCAGCAGCACAUACACUAAAGUUGGAAUGAUACAGAGAUUGGCAUGGCCCCUUUAAAAAAAAAGAAUCCUCUUCAUAGCGUCUUUAAAAUUUAUU